AUUGAACGCUGGCGGCAUGCCUUACACAUGCAAGUCGAACGGCAGCACGGGAGCAAUCCUGGUGGCGAGUGGCGAACGGGUGAGUAAUAUAUCAGAACGUGCCCAGUCGUGGGGGAUAACGCAGCGAAAGCUGUGCUAAUACCGCAUACGAUCUAAGGAUGAAAGCGGGGGAUCGCAAGACCUCGCGCGAUUGGAGCGGCCGAUAUCAGAUUAGCUAGUUGGUGGGGUAAAGGCCCACCAAGGCGACGUUCUGUAGCUGGUCUGAGAGGACGACCAGCCACACGGGAACUGAGACACGGUCCAGACGCCUACGGGAGGCAGCAGUGGGGAAUUUUGGACAAUGGGCGCAAGCCUGAUCCAGCAAUGCCGCGUGCAGGAUGAAGGCCUUCGGGUUGUAAACUGCUUUUGUACGGAACGAAACGGCCCUUUCUAAUACAGGGGGCUAAUGACGGUACCGUAAGAAUAAGCACCGGCUAACUACGUGCCAGCCGCCGCCGUAA
rnacentral:rRNA from 1 species